UAAGCCAUUGUUCUUUCUGCUCUAUGAUUGGCCCCCUGUUUUGUCAUAGAUACUUGGGUUAGAAUAAAAGGUUAUAAGGGGGAGGAAAGGGCAGGAGAUUCACAGACACCUUCACAGUGAAUACUGUGGGUCCAGGAUAAAGCAGGAAACUGGGCACAUGGAUUUAGAAUCCUAGAAGAAUCAAACUGAAAAGGACUUAAGCAUCCCUCUUCUCUGCAAAGGAGCCAACAUUCUGAAGCCCCUCAAGGGGGGACGAAGCAGGCCCUGAGCCUGACCCUCCACCUGGAAGUUCAAGGUAAACAGACCAUUGUAAGGAGAGGGAGUGGUUGACAGGACCCAGAGAAAGGGACUCAGGCAAUCAAAAUUAAAAUCACACCAGUCAUAAUAAUAGUGGUGCAUUGACUGAAUACUUGGUAUGUGCCGGGCUCCAUAUUAGGAACUGUAAAUGGAUUGCCUCAUUUAAUUCUCCUUAUUUCACAAGUGAGAAUAUGGAGGCCAGGAGAUAUUAAGGGACUUGUCUAAGGAAUUAUAUGGCAGAGUUGGUGAUAUGGUUUGGCUCUAUGUCCCCACCCAAAUCUCACCUUGAAAUGUAAUAAUCCCCAUUUGUCAAGGGUGGGGCCAGAUGGAGAUAACUGAAUCAUGGGGAGCACUUUCCUCCAUACUGUUCUCUUGGGAGUGAAUAAGUCUCAUGAGAUCUGAUGGUUUUAUAAAUGGGAGUUCUUCUGCACAAGCUCUCUUGCC
rnacentral:lncRNA from 13 species